AAAUUGAGUUUUUUGUGAUCACUUUGCUGUUGUUGUUGUUCUUGUUGUUGUUGUUCUUGUUUUCGUCGUCGCCCAGUGCUUUGGAUACCACGUACACGCGUCGUUCAAGAUUCAAGCUCGCAAGUCCCUUGCUGAAACGGUCAUUAAGAUUGUAAAAGACGUCGUCGCCGAGGCUCGAGCGGGGGGUCGGCCGGCGCUCGAAGGAGACGCACCCCGCCAGGCCAACGAAAG